rnacentral:rRNA from 1 species
UAUGUGAUCGUCUCUCGCAUAUCAAUAAGCGGAGGAAAAGAAACUAACAAGGAUUCCCCUAGUAACGGCGAGUGAAGCGGGAAGAGCUCAAAUUUGAAAUCUUAAAGGGUUUCCCUUUACGAAUUGUAGUUUAAAGAAGUGUUUUCUGUUGAGGUUUUGGUAAAAGUUCUUUGGAAUAGGACAUCAUAGAGGGUGAGAAUCCCGUAUUUGACCUUUACUUUCAACUUUGUGAUACACUUUCAAAGAGUCGGAUUGUUUGGGAAUGCAGUCCAAAAUGGGUGGUAAAUUUCAUCUAAAGCUAAAUAUUGGCGAGAGACCGAUUAGCGAACAAGUACCGUGAGGGAAAGAUGAAAAGAACUUUGAAAAGAGAGUUAAACAGUACGUGAAAUUGUCAAAAGGGAAGCGUUUGACACCAGUGUUGUUUUUCUGAAAAUCAAUUAAAGAACUGUUUAUGCUAAGUUGUUUAGGACUUUAUCAGCUAACUGUUUAGUUUUGAGCUUUUCUUUAAUGCACUUUUCAGUUAACAAGUCAACAUCAAUUUCUUUUGCUGUAAAAAAGCUUGAGGAAGGUGGCUUGAGAUUCGUCUUAAGUGUUUAUAGCCUCUUGCCUAUGCAGUCGGAGAGAUUGAGGUCUGCAGCGUAGAUCCUUCGGGGCUAAAUGCAUUUGUGCUAAGUUAUAGCAUUUUAUAGACAACUUGUUGACUAUGAUUUGUCUUGUAGCUUACUCGCUUAUGUUAUUUUACCUACGCUUAGGAUGUUGACUGAUAUGUAGUCGUA